CUCUACGAGAGGCAGCAGUAGGGAAUUUUCACAAUGGGCGAAAGCCUGAUGGAGCAAUGCCGCGUGACUGAAGAAGGUCUUCGGAUUGUAAAGGUCUGUUGUAAGGGAAGAAUAGUAAGCAAAGGAAAUGUUGUUUAUUUGACUGUACUUUACCAGAAAGCCACGGCUAACUAUGUGCCAGCAGCCGCGGUAAUAGA
rnacentral:rRNA from 1 species